CAGUCGCCGCGGGAAUACGUAGGGUGCGAGCGUUAAUCGGAAUUACUGGGCGUAAAGCGUGCGCAGGCGGUUUUGUAAGACAGAGGUGAAAUCCCCGGGCUCAACCUGGGAACUGCCUUUGUGACUGCAAGGCUAGAGUACGGCAGAGGGGGAUGGAAUUCCGCGUGUAGCAGUGAAAUGCGUAGAUAUGCGGAGGAACACCGAUGGCGAAGGCAAUCCCCUGGGCCUGUACUGACGCUCAUGCACGAAAGCGUGGGUAGCAAACAGGAUUAGAUACCCCAGUAGUCCCUGUCUCUUAUAC
rnacentral:rRNA from 1 species